rnacentral:rRNA from 1 species
UGGGGAAUAUUGGACAAUGGGCGCAAGCCUGAUCCAGCAAUACCGCGUGUGUGAAGAAGGCCUGAGGGUUGUAAAGCACUUUCAAUGGGGAGGAAAACCUGCCGGUCAAUACCCGGCAGCUUGACAUUACCUUUAGAAGAAGCACCGGCUAACUCCGUGCCAGCAGCCGCGGUAAUACGGAGGGUGCGAGCGUUAAUCGGAAUUACUGGGCGUAAAGCGUGCGUAGGCGGUUAAUUAAGUCAGAUGUGAAAGCCCCGGGCUUAACCUGGGAACGGCAUUUGAUACUGGUUAACUAGAGUUGAGUAGAGGGGAGUGGAAUUUCAGGUGUAGCGGUGAAAUGCGUAGAUAUCUGAAGGAACACCAGUGGCGAAGGCGACUCCCUGGACUCAAACUGACGCUGAGGUACGAAAGCGUGGGUAGCAAACAGG